ACGAACGCUGGCGGCGUGCUUAACACAUGCAAGUCGAACGGAAAGGCCCUGCUUUUGUGGGGUGCUCGAGUGGCGAACGGGUGAGUAACACGUGAGUAACCUGCCCUUGACUUUGGGAUAACUUCAGGAAACUGGGGCUAAUACCGGAUAGGAGCUCCUGCUGCAUGGUGGGGGUUGGAAAGUUUCGGCGGUUGGGGAUGGACUCGCGGCUUAUCAGCUUGUUGGUGGGGUAGUGGCUUACCAAGGCUUUGACGGGUAGCCGGCCUGAGAGGGUGACCGGCCACAUUGGGACUGAGAUACGGCCCAGACUCCUACGGGAGGCAGCAGUGGGGAAUAAUGCACAAUGGGCGGAAGCCUGAUGCAGCAACGCCGCGUGCGGGAUGACGGCCUUCGGGUUGUAAACCGCCUUCGCCUGUGACGAAGCGUGAGUGACGGUAAUGGGUAAAGAAGCACCGGCUAACUACGUG
rnacentral:rRNA from 1 species